CCUACGGGAGGCAGCAGUGAGGAAUAUUGGUCAAUGGGCGUAAGCCUGAACCAGCCAAGUCGCGUGAGGGACGAUGGCCCUACGGGUUGUAAACCUCUUUUGCCGGGGGACAAACGGCGGCACGCGUGCCGUCCUGAGGGUACCCGGAGAAAAAGCAUCGGCUAACUCCGUGCCAGCAGCCGCGGUAAUACGGAGGAUGCGAGCGUUAUCCGGAUUUAUUGGGUUUAAAGGGUGCGUAGGCGGGAUGCCUAGUCAGCGGUCAAAUACGGGGGCUCAACCUGCGUCCGCCGUUGAAACUGGCGUUCUUGAGUGGGCGAGAAGUACGCGGAAUUCGUGGUGUAGCGGUGAAAUGCUUAGAUAGCACGAAGAACCCCGAUUGCGAAGGCAGCUUACUAAACUGUGACUGACAUUGAUGCUCGAAAGUGUGGGUAUCAAACAGGAUUAGAUACCCGGGUAGUC
rnacentral:rRNA from 1 species